UACGGAGGGGGCAAGUGUUGUUCGGAAUCAUUGGGCGUAAAGCGCGUGUAGGCGGCUUGGCAAGUCAGUUAUGAAAGCCCGGGGCCCAACCCCGGAACUGCAUCUGAAACUGCCUGGCUAGAGUCCCGGAGAGGAAGGCAGAAUUCCCGGUGUGGGGGUGAAAUCCGUAGAUAUCGGGAGGAAUACCAGCGGCGAAGGCGGCCUUCUGGACGGUGACUGACGCUGAGACGCGAAAGCGUGGGGAGCAAGCAGG
rnacentral:rRNA from 1 species